rnacentral:pre_miRNA from 1 species
GAGACACCCUUCUGGGGCAAGACUUGCUUCAGAGCGGUUGUUGUGCUCACUGAGUCUGCCCCCUGAGUGUGUCCCU